CACGCCGUAAACGGUGGGCGCUAGGUGUGGGUUUCCUUCCACGGGAUCCGUGCCGUAGCUAACGCAUUAAGCGCCCCGCCUGGGGAGUACGGCCGCAAGGCUAAAACUCAAAGGAAUUGACGGGGGCCCGCACAAGCGGCGGAGCAUGUGGAUUAAUUCGAUGCAACGCGAAGAACCUUACCUGGGUUUGACAUACACCGGAAAGCUGCAGAGAUGUAGCCCCCCUUGUGGUCGGUGUACAGGUGG
rnacentral:rRNA from 1 species